AAAACCACUCAAGCUCUUUUGCUUGGUAUUGGAAGAUGAGUAUGCUUUGUUAUACUCACUUUCGAAAUUCAAAGGCGUAGAGCCCCACGUGCCACGGCGUAGUAAGUUUUCUUUCGCUUGGAAUGUGAGGUGAUAUUGCCACAAACCCCCAAUUUUUCUA
rnacentral:misc_RNA from 1 species